rnacentral:misc_RNA from 1 species
AAAGUCGUAACAAGGUUUCCGUAGGUGAACCUGCGGAAGGAUCAUUACAAAACACCUGGCCCUCUCGGGCCUGAAGGGAACGCCUUUGGCCGCCGGGGGGUUUUAAACCCCCUCCGACCGGCCGGGGCGAACCUUUUAAACCCCUUGUGAAAAACCUCCGUUGCUUCGGCAGCUCUCCCCCGCCUUUACCGGCCGGGGGAGGUCAGCCUGCCGACGGCACCCUUGGAAACUCUCGAUUGAAACGUAGUAAUAACAACGUCUGAGCGCGAAGUCUAAUGACUAUAAAACUUUCAACAACGGAUCUCUUGGUUCCC